UGAAAAACCAACCCGAUACUGGUGGUAGGACCAUUUGCAAUCAAUAGUUACUGACAGUAUUCUGUUGCUUCUAGUUCCGGUGGUGAGGAGACCUUUCCAAAUAUAAGAGGAAUAAAGAAGUCACCUCCCCAGCUGUCAUCAUCUUCCAGCAGAUUGAGCAAGAAUAUUUUGAGCACUACAGGAAAGACAGUCCAUCAAACCCGAGAUGAUGAUCAGCCACGUGAUUUUUUCAAGAAGAGGAAUAGGGUGAAUGAAUCUCAUCAGAAAAGCAGCAAUAUGAAUGCUGGCCCAUCUUGGAAUAAAGUGCAACAUUCAAAGAAUUCUUCAGGAAAAAGGCAGAGUAAAUCCCAAGUACCCCACGCUUCUUCCCAGCCGAGAAGCAGCCUCACAGCUGUCACCCAGCCUACUGAAGAAAAACU
rnacentral:lncRNA from 1 species